GGAGCCACUGGCGACAACCAGGUUUUGGCCUCGGCAGGAUGGCAGGCGGAGCCGCCAUGUGCCAAGAGGGGCGGUGAGCGGGGAGCAGGCCUUGGGGAGGGCAGGAGCUCAGGCCGUGAUGCCCGGGGAGAAGAUGGCUGGAGGUGGAAAUGAAAGCCUCCCGGUUAUUGAUGGUGUUUAAAGCUGAGAGGGUGAUGGCCUCCCUGAGGAAGUGGGUGGGCUCAGCAUUGCCAACAUUUUCCCCAAGGCAAUCCAGGGGCCCCCAGCAUUAGCUAAAUCUGAUGGUGGGAGGUAGACCCGAAGAGAGGGUCUCAGAAGGGGAUGCUGCCUGGGUCUCCCCGAUGGAAGCCAAGUGCCAGGAGAAGGAGACCCCUUGGGCCAGCCUGUGCCCUCCAGGGUGCUGCCAUCUGAUGGGAAAGACAGGAGAGAAUCUCUGCAAGCAAGUGGUUCCUGUCGCCGUGAAGAGGAACAGGACUGGGGAGCACAUGGCAGGGGCCUAACGCAGGUGGGUAAACUGAGGCUCAAGGCAGGGGCUGCUGUGAUGUGAAGGGCUGACCCCUGGAAAGGAGGGAGAGGCCCUCACCUGUGAGGGGUGAGGCUGAGUUUCCCAGGUGGUGUCACUGACAUGACAUGGAUUUUGCCAUUUCCCCACACCUCCUGUGCUGUAAUACCACCGAAUAGCAGGCUGAGCCAAUUUAGAGCAGGGGCUCUGGGGCCGGACAGCCUCGGUUUAAAUCCCAGCUCAGCUAUUUACUAGCUCUGUGAGC